rnacentral:misc_RNA from 1 species
AGUCGUAACAAGGUUUCCGUAGGUGAACCUGCGGAAGGAUCAUUACCGAGUGCUGGGCCCUCUGGGUCCAACCUCCCACCCGUGUCUAUUGUACCUUGUUGCUUCGGCGGGCCCGCCGUUUCGACGGCCGCCGGGGAGGCCUCGCGCCCCCGGGCCCGCGCCCGCCGAAGACCCCAACAUGAACGCUGUUCUGAAAGUAUGCAGUCUGAGUUUGAUUACCAUAAUCAGUUAAAACUUUCAACAACGGAUCUCUUGGUUCCGGCAUCGAUGAAGAACGCAGCGAAAUGCGAUAAGUAAUGUGAAUUGCAGAAUUCAGUGAAUCAUCGAGUCUUUGAACGCACAUUGCGCCCCCUGGUAUUCCGGGGGGCAUGCCUGUCCGAGCGUCAUUGCUGCCCUCAAGCACGGCUUGUGUGUUGGGCCCCCGUCCCCGGUUUCCCCCGGGGACGGGCCCGAAAGGCAGCGGCGGCACCGCGUCCGGUCCUCGAGCGUAUGGGGCUUUGUCACCCGCUCUGUAGGCCCGGCCGGCGCCAGCCGACACCCCCAACUUUAUUUUCUAAGGUUGACCUCGGAUCAGGUAGGGAUACCCGCUGAACCUAAGCAUAUCA